CAGCAGCCGCGGGAAUGCGAAGGGUGCAAGCGUUACUCGGAAUUACUGGGCGUAAAGCGUGCGUAGGUGGUGGUUUAAGUCCGUUGUGAAAGCCCUGGGCUCAACCUGGGAAUUGCAGUGGAUACUGGGUCACUAGAGUGUGGUAGAGGAUAGGGGAAUUUCCGGUGUAGCAGUGAAAUGCGUAGAGAUCGGAAGGAACAUCUGUGGCGAAGGCGACUAUCUGGGCCAACACUGACACUGAGGCACGAAAGCGUGGGGAGCAAACAGGAUUAGAUACCCCCGUAGUCCCUGUCUCUUAUAC
rnacentral:rRNA from 1 species